rnacentral:rRNA from 1 species
GAUGAACGCUGGCGGCGUGCCUAAUACAUGCAAGUCGAGCGAACAGACGAGGAGCUUGCUCCUCUGACGUUAGCGGCGGACGGGUGAGUAACACGUGGAUAACCUACCUAUAAGACUGGGAUAACUUCGGGAAACCGGAGCUAAUACCGGAUAAUAUAUUGAACCGCAUGGUUCAAUAGUGAAAGACGGUUUUGCUGUCACUUAUAGAUGGAUCCGCGCCGCAUUAACGAGUUGGUAAGGUAACGGCUUACCAAGGCAACGAUGCGUAGCCGACCUGAGAGGGUGAUCGGCCACACUGGAACUGAGACACGGUCCAGACUCCUACGGGAGGCAGCAGUAGGGAAUCUUCCGCAAUGGGCGAAAGCUUGACGGAGCAACGCCGCGUGAGUGAUGAAGGUCUUCGGAUCGUAAAACUCUGUUAUUAGGGAAGAACAAAUGUGUAAGUAACUAUGCACGUCUUGACGGUACCUAAUCAGAAAGCCACGGCUAACUACGUG